GUGUGUUUCUGUCAGAGUCGUGUGAUUGUGAUUUUAUUUAUUAUUGAUCACAGAUCAGGUAUUGGAGCUCGGCAGCAGACUGAACUCCAGCCAGCUUCACCUGGACGAGCUGAGUAGAAUCUGUGCAGGUGAGUCACAUGAUGUGAUGACGUCAGCAGAGUCGUUUUAAAAUGUGAGAAUGAGAGUUAAUGAUUUCAUCAUGUUCAGAUCAAACAGGUCGACUGACGUCUGUGGAGGGACGAGUGGACAAGCUGAAGACUGAAAACACAGGUGACACACCUGCGCUUCAUCACCAUCAGUGUUUGAGUGGUUUAUCUUCAGGACAUGAAUCUGUGUGUCAGAACUUUAGAUCUCAGCGGUUGAUGAACUCUGUGUGAUUAAACUCUUUCAGCUCUGAGUGACAGACUGAGUGUUGGUGAACGACGACUGCACGAGCUGCAGACUGAAAACACAGAUCAAACCUUUAAACUGACGAGCCUGCAGGGGUACCAGAACCGCAGCCAGAGUCUGAACACAGGUACGUCAGUCCGGUCCACUGUCAGGUCAGCAGUUAGUCCGUGGAGACACUCACUUCCUGUUUCCUGUUCAGCUUUACAGCUCAGACUGAGUGUCAGUGAGAAGCACCUGGAGCACCUGCAGACGGAGAACACAGUUCAGUCCGAUCGACUUUCCCUGAUGGAGUCCAGACUGACAGACGGACUCAACAACACCAAAGGUCCACUUGGAUUUAUAUUAAUAUCACAUUUUGACAUCGUCUGUCCAGAUAUUGAUUAGUUAAUGGUUAUUUAUAAUUCGUACUUUACUGAAGAGAUCAAACUGUUGUGUUGAUCAGCUCUGGAGGUCCGACUGAGAUCUGCUGAGACACACCUGGAACACCUGGAGUACCUGGUGAAUCACACUGCAGGUAACAUCACCAUCCCACUAAGCUUCAGUCCAAAGCAUAGUUCAUCAUUAUGUAAGUACAUUGAGAACUGGUCCUGAACCGGUCCUGAACCGGUCCUGAACCGGUCCUGAACUGGUCCUUCUGACAUGGAAGGUAAUCUUAAGGGUGCUUUAAUGGAAACCACAGAGGAGGAAACUCUUGGUGGAUCUCAGAAGAACUUUAUGUUCUGCAGGUUGUUAAAUGUUUUAAGUGUUUUCAGUAGGCGAGGUGGAGCUGUCGGCCGUCACCGCGAGGCUGAUGGUCACGGAGCAGCAGCUGGACGAGCUGACGGCUGAACUCUCAGGUGAUGUUGGAUCCUUCAGCUGCUGUUUGUCUGGUCCUGCUUCAGUCUCUGAUGGUUCUGUGUUUGUGUUGCAGACAGACUGACGGCAGCUGACAGACACGCUGAAGGUACCAUCCCUUCUCUAUCGCAACGUUUCUGUGGUUAUUACAAUACUAUAGAAAAUAGAAAAGCUGUUCAUCAGAUGUGUUUCCUGUCAGAUCUGCAGGUCCGACUGAGCGCCACUGAGGCUGCAACCCACCAGCUGAAGACCCUCAACCAGGGUAGAGUCCAGAAUACGACAUGAAGCUGCCUGUGACCAGUGUCAGUCCAACAGUACCAGAAAUGUUCAGUGACCUCCAUGUUGUUUUUUCUCUCCGCAGAUCAGUCCGCCCUGCUGACAGAAAUCCGGUCCAGACUAGAUGCUACAGAGAGCCUCAGCUCAGGUGAGUCUUCAAGGUUCAGGUGUUAAUGGAAGAGAUGUGACAGAACAUGUCAGCACUGAGUUUGGGUUUUGUGAACUUUGCAGUUUUUAACA
ensembl:lncRNA